CUACGUGCCAGCAGCCGCGGUAAUACGUAGGGUGCGAGCGUUAAUCGGAAUUACUGGGCGUAAAGCGAGCGCAGACGGUUACUUAAGCAGGAUGUGAAAUCCCCGGGCUCAACCUGGGAACUGCGUUCUGAACUGGGUGACUAGAGUGUGUCAGAGGGAGGUAGAAUUCCACGUGUAGCAGUGAAAUGCGUAGAGAUGUGGAGGAAUACCGAUGGCGAAGGCAGCCUCCUGGGAUAACACUGACGUUCAUGCUCGAAAGCGUGGGUAGCAAACAGGAUUAGAUACCCUGGUAGUCCACGCCCUAAACGAUGUCAAUUAGCUGUUGGGCAACUUGAUUGCUUAGUAGCGUAGCUAACGCGUGAAAUUGACCGCCUGGGGAGUACGGCCGCAAGGUUAAAACUCAAAUGAAUUGACGGGGGCCCGCACAAGCGGUGGAGCAUGUGGUUUAAUUCGAUGCAACGCGAAGAACCUUACCUGGUCUUGACA
rnacentral:rRNA from 1 species